GCUCCACAAUGACAGAGAAAAGGUGUGUGGUGAUGACAAGGACAUGAGGGCUGCAGCAGUGACCAGACUGGCAGAUGAAGGUAGCAAACUGCGGAACGUGUUGCACAGAGAGCUUGUGUAGUCUCCAUCCUCAGAGACACUAAAAACCUGACUGGAUAUGAUCUUGGGCAACCUGCUCUAGAUGACCCUACUUGAGCACGAGUCAGGCCAGAUGAUCUCAAGAGGUCACUUCCAAUUAAACGAUGUUGAGAUUGUGCAGUCUAUGUGCCAAAGGAUGAGGGAAGAGGAAAGACGAGUCAACAUUUAUUUGGAAUGACCUGAGCUUUGACCUUUAAGUUCAUGCUUGGGAGUGAAGAAAAGACACUGAGCAAGUCCCUGCUUCUCUUACAUGAGGCCUCUGUGAUGUCUCUCAACAAAGAGAGCAAAAUGUCCAUCAUUUCUCCUUACAAAAUACAAGAGGCAUUUAUAGGACUGAAAUCAGAUUAGAAAGUUUCCAUUUCCCCCCUCCAUUACUGUCUCACUCCUUUGCACCCAUGGAUCUGUUUCUACAAACCAGCAGAAUACUCCUCCCACAUCAAACCCAAAAUACUCCUCAGUGUUUUAAGAAAUGGAUCACUUCAGUGGUCUGGAUAUCAGCUGUCUCCAAAUCAGCAGAAAACAGAAGAAGCUGCAGCACAGGGGGGGAAAUAUACUGAUCCACCUCCAAUGCAGCAUGAACAGUAGAGGUAAAACCACAAUGUGAUGCAUACUGGAAGGACUCACUCUCCUGCCAUUGAAGAGGGCAGCAUUGCUGCUCACUCCUGUGGGUUCUCCAAAUGUCUUGCAGUUCAACUAGGGGGACAUUCCUCAGUAAGGCACAGUCAGGGCUAAAUUCUCUGCUUGUGAUUCUGUCCAAAAUCUACACUGGCAUAAAGCCAAGACUUACACGAGAGCCUACUGUAUGAUACAGGUGAAGGGUUAGCAAACUGACCUGCAGUGACUAAUGAAUGGUUAGGAACAAAAUUCUGUUUUCAAAACAACUGCUUAAAACACCCAUUUUAGGGCAAGGAAUAGAAAUGGCUUCUAUAAUAACAGUCCAGCCAGUGCUCCUAAUAAAAGCAUUUUCACUAAGAGGGACCAUUACAUGCAUUUCAGAUUGUCUAUCAAAAUGUAACUGCUAAUUAAGAACAAAAAUGACUGUGAAAUUGCAAUAUAGACUCCAUCUCAUUUUCCUUGGAAUCCCAGGCCUUUGCUGUCAGGAAAGUAACACCUCUCAUUAGUUCUGUAGACACCAGGAGGAGUCACCUCUCAUCCUUUGGUUUUUCCAGUUAAUGAUGUCGACUGAUUUCAUACACUUGCCAACGAUUAAGCAUAACUGAACAUUUUGCAAGCUUAUUUGGUUCUACUCCAUACCAUUUAGCAAACAGAGUGCUACCAAGGAGCUUUUCCUCCCUCUCUGUUCUUUCAUGCUUUUAAUACAACAGCACAGUUUAACGUUUGUUGGGAAAAGCUGCAGUAAUAAACAAGAAUCUCAAGCAGGACUGUGCCUAUAGUCAGGAGCAAGGAUUAUCACUGAUUUCUCCUUUGUUCAGGUUGUGGUGGCAAUUAUGACAAGCAGCAGGUUUGAUUUAAGUGUACUCUGCCAGUGAAAAGCAGAAUCAAAAACAAUGACAUCUGGGAUUUUUCCUUCUAAUGCAAACUUAAUUAUUAAUCAAAGCUAUGACACACUAAAUAUUAGCAAAUGA